rnacentral:lncRNA from 10 species
AGAUGAUGGAGUGGGAGGAAGAAGAGGCACAUGAAAAAACCAUUUACUGCCUGUUCUUGAGCCACAGAUCUGACUGGGCAAGAGUGGGAGCUGGAGCCUUGUGCAGAGAAGAAGCAUCUUUGAAUUAGACCACCAACGCUGCUCCUGUGGCCCUAACCAGAAGCGAUUCAGCCCUCAGGAGGACAGCUUUGACCCCCUAUGAUUUCAUCUCCAGCCCAACCAAUCAGCAACAAGCACCUGUUACCUGGCCACACCCACCUGUUCCCUCAAACUGCCUUUGAAAAACCCCUAACCCAUGAGCUUCAACCUAGAUCAUCUGAGUACAAAUUCCAGCUCCCCUGUGGCAUGGCUGGCUCAGUGUCUAUUAAACUCUUUCUCUACUCUAAGGCCAUGGUCUUUC